rnacentral:rRNA from 2 species
UGAGCUGGGGGUGGCCGCAGAGACCAGCGAGAAGCGACUGUUUACUAAAAACACAGGUCCGUGCGAAGCCGUAAGGCGAUGUAUACGGACUGACGCCUGCCCGGUGCUGGAACGUUAAGGGGACCGGUUAGUCGAGAUUCGUCUCGGCGAAGCUGAGAACUUAAGCGCCAGUAAACGGCGGUGGUAACUAUAACCAUCCUAAGGUAGCGAAAUUCCUUGUCGGGUAAGUUCCGACCUGCACGAAUGGCGUAACGACUUCUCGACUGUCUCAACCAUAGGCCCGGUGAAAUUGCACUACGAGUAAAGAUGCUCGUUUCGCGCAGCAGGACGGAAAGACCCCGGGACCUUUACUACAGUUUGAUAUUGGUGUUCGGUUCGGCUUGUGUAGGAUAGCUGGGAGACUUUGAUCAUCGGACGCCAGUUCGGUGUGAGUCGUCGUUGAAAUACCAGUCUGGUCGUGCUGGAUGUCUAACCUGGGUCCGUGAUCCGGAUCAGGGACAGUGUCUGAUGGGUAGUUUAACUGGGGCGGUUGCCUCCUAAAGAGUAACGGAGGCGCCCAAAGGUUCCCUCAGCCUGGUUGGUAAUCAGGUGUUGAGUGUAAGUGCACAAGGGAGCUUGACUGUGAGACCGACGGGUCGAGCAGGGACGAAAGUCGGGACUAGUGAUCCGGCGGUGGCUUGUGGAAGCGCCGUCGCUCAACGGAUAAAAGGUACCCCGGGGAUAACAGGCUGAUCUUCCCCAAGAGUCCAUAUCGACGGGAUGGUUUGGCACCUCGAUGUCGGCUCGUCGCAUCCUGGGGCUGGAGUCGGUCCCAAGGGUUGGGCUGUUCGCCCAUUAAAGCGGUACGCGAGCUGGGUUUAGAACGUCGUGAGACAGUUCGGUCCCUAUCCGCUGUGCGCGUAGGAGUCUUGAGAAGGGCUGUCCCUAGUACGAGAGGACCGGGACGGACGAACCUCUGGUGUGCCAGUUGUCCUGCCAAGGGCAUGGCUGGUUGGCUACGUUCGGGAGGGAUAACCGCUGAAAGCAUCUAAGCGGGAAGCCUGCUUCGAGAUGAGGACUCCCACCCACUUGAUGGGUUAAGGCUCCCAGUAGACGACUGGGUUGAUAGGCCGGAUCUGGAAGCACGGUAACGUGUGGAGGUGACCGGUACUAAUAGGCCGAGGGCUUGUCCUC